rnacentral:rRNA from 1 species
GACGAACGCUGGCGGCGUGCCUAAUACAUGCAAGUCGAACGAACCGCGACUAAGUGCUUGCACUAAGUCAAGGUGAGUGGCGAACGGGUGAGUAACACGUGGGUAACCUACCUUAUAGUGGGGGAUAACAGUCGGAAACGACUGCUAAUACCGCAUAGGACAUAGGAUCACAUGAUUCAGUGAGAAAAGGUGGCGCAAGCUAUCGCUAAGAGAUGGACCCGCGGUGCAUUAGCUAGUUGGUAGGGUAACGGCCUACCAAGGCGAUGAUGCAUAGCCGACCUGAGAGGGUGAUCGGCCACAUUGGGACUGAGACACGGCCCAAACUCCUACGGGAGGCAGCAGUAGGGAAUCUUCCGCAAUGGACGCAAGUCUGACGGAGCAACGCCGCGUGAGUGAAGAAGGUCUUCGGAUCGUAAAGCUCUGUUGUUAGAGAAGAACAGCGCAUAGAGUAACUGUUAUGCGUGUGACG